GGGCCGGUCGUCUAGCCAGGACGGAUUUCUUAGAUCCUCCCUAGAAGCUCAUUCCGAGAUAGCUUGGUAGGAUACCACUUUGGCAUGGUGGGGGUCCUGGGUUCAAAUCCCAGCCGGUCCACCA
rnacentral:tRNA from 1 species